rnacentral:tRNA from 1 species
CAGGUUAUUCUUUAAUAGUAAUUUUCUUUUACAUUGAAAAUUUUAAUGUGUAAUUCAUUAUAACUUGA